GGACCCGCACAAGCGGUGGAGCAUGUGGUUUAAUUCGAUGCAACGCGAAAAACCUUACCUACUCUUGACAUACUUGGGGAGCUCUUGUAAUGAGAGUGUGCCUUAUGGAACCAAGAUACAGGUGCUGCAUGGCUGUCGUCAGCUCGUGUCGUGAGAUGUUCCGUUAAGUCGGAUAACGAGCGCAACCCUUACCCUUAUUUGCCAGCGAUUCGGUCGGGAACUAUAAGGGACUGCCGGUGAUAAACCGGAGGAAGGUGAGGACGACGUCAAGUCAUCAUGGCCCUUACGAGUAGGGCUACACACGUGCUACAAUGGGAAAUACAGACGGACGCUAAGCCGCGAGGUGGUGCU
rnacentral:rRNA from 1 species